rnacentral:rRNA from 1 species
AUUGAACGCUGGCGGCAGGCCUAACACAUGCAAGUCGAGCGGAUGAGUGGAGCUUGCUCCAUGAUUCAGCGGCGGACGGGUGAGUAAUGCCUAGGAAUCUGCCUGGUAGUGGGGGAUAACGUUUCGAAAGGAACGCUAAUACCGCAUACGUCCUACGGGAGAAAGUGGGGGAUCUUCGGACCUCACGCUAUCAGAUGAGCCUAGGUCGGAUUAGCUAGUUGGUGGGGAAAUGGCCCACCAAGGCGACGAUCCGUAACUGGUCUGAGAGGAUGAUCAGUCACACUGGAACUGAGACACGGUCCAGACUCCUACGGGAGGCAGCAGUGGGGAAUAGUGGACAAUGGGCGAAAGCCUGACCCAGCCAUGCCGCGUGUGUGAAGAAGGUCUUCGGAUUGUAAAGCACUUUAAGUUGGGAGGAAGGGCAGUAAGUUAAUACCUUGCUGUUUUGACGUUACCAACAGAAUAAGCACCGGCUAACUUCGUGCCAGCAGCCGCCGUAAAAC